rnacentral:rRNA from 1 species
UACGUAGGGGGCAAGCGUUGUUCGGAAUUACUGGGCGUAAAGGGCGCGUAGGCGGCACGGCAAGUCAGGAGUGAAAGCCCGGGGCUCAACCCCGGAAUGUCUUUUGAAACUGCCGAGCUAGAGUGCGGAAGAGGCAACUGGAAUUCCCAGUGUAGCGGUGAAAUGCGUAGAUAUUGGGAAGAACACCGGUGGCGAAGGCGGGUCUCUGGGCCGAUACUGACGCUGAGGAGCGAAAGCGUGGGGAGCGAACAGG